GACAGAGGGUGCAAACGUUGCUCGGAAUUACUGGGCGUAAAGCGCGUGUAGGUGGUCUGGUAAGUCGGGUGUGAAAGCCCGGGGCUCAACCCCGGAAGUGCAUCCGAAACUGCCUGGCUAGAGUACUGAAGAGGACUGCGGAAUUCCCGGUGUAGAGGUGAAAUUCGUAGAUAUCGGGAGGAACACCAGUGGCGAAGGCGGCAGUCUGGGCAGAUACUGACACUGAGACGCGAAAGCGUGGGAAG
rnacentral:rRNA from 1 species